UGAUUAUAAAUUAAUGUAAAUUUACCAGAGUACUAUGAACAUGCAGUUUAAAACUCAAAGGGCUUGGCGGUGCUUUAGACUCUUCAGGGGAACCUGUCUCGUAAUCGAUAGUCCACGAUAUACCUAACCUUUUUUAGACAUCAGUAUGUAUACCGUCGUCGUCAGGUAACUUUUAAAAAUAAAGAAGUUAGCGACAAAAAUUAGAAUAAUUUUGUACGUCAGAUCAAGGUGCAGCUCAUAAAAAGGUGAGGAUGGGUUACAAUUAAGAGUUAUAAUAACGGAAAGAGGUUUGGCAUAACCUCUAAUG
rnacentral:rRNA from 1 species